UUAGCCCGACGUGGGGCUUCAAUCCCCAGCCCUGACAUUGCUUCGAUUAAGAGUCUCAUGCUCCUCCGAUUAAGCUAUCCAGGC
rnacentral:tRNA from 1 species